CCUGCUCAGAGAGCCGCAGGAUGGAACACCCCCUCUGGCAGCUUUGGCUGUGGACGGUCACCCGUGGCCUCCGACGCUGGCGUGGGACGAGGGCACACCCGCAGUGGCCAGCCGACCUGAUGCCAGAGACCAACCCCCGGAGAGCCACAGGCACAUGGGCCAAGGAGACUCCCAGACCAGCCCCAUCCCGUGGCCAGCAGAGGAAAAGGCCCGGGCUCUGACGGGAAGCCCAGCAUCAAGCUUCCAAGGCCAGAGUCGACCCUCCCUGAGCACAGGGCGUCCCCACAGCCCCCAGGAAGCCCGUUGUUUCCAGCAGGUGGCUGAAGGCGGCGGGAGUCCACCAGGGUCAGAACCGGGGCUGGACUUUGCCGGCAGCUCCGUGGAGGGGCCUGCCGCCAUGGAGGCUGCUCAGAGCUGCUCAGGGGAGCAGAGGACAGAGACCUAUCAGCAGGAGAACCCCCAAGCCCCUUUCUCCUGCCCAGAAGCUGCGCCGCCGACCGUGUCUCCAGGUGACGCCUCCACCCCUUCAAGGGCCCCCACCUUGAGUGAGGCCCCGUCCCCAGGUAAUGGACCAGCUUUCCAGUCAGAGCCAGCCCACUCCCACAGCCCCUGCCCUCCCCACCGCCUGGGUACUGUCUCCACCUGGGGUCUUCUGCUUUUGAUCCAUCGGCUUGGGGACCGUGGGAUGUGGGCUGUAUCCUUCCCAGGGUUGGUGGAACAUCUUCAGCGUAAAGGUGGUGAAUCAUCCCUAAACCCUCCUUUCUCUACAGCAGCUGAGGUGGCGGCACCCCCAGCCCCGCACAAGGACGGCCCCCCGGCCCGGCUCAUGGCCCUUUGGGACCUGGGCUCCGAGCCCGAGUCCACCCCCAGCGCCUGCUCAGGGGCGUCUUCUCCACGGUCCACUGCUGCCUCCUCGGGGAGCCUCGCGUCGUCCUGCCCUUCUCUCCAGGAGUUUCAGAAAGCAUCCGCCAUCCUGGUCCAGCUUUCCGAGAGCCCCACCUCCCUCUCGGAUGGGGAAGCUGGGGACACUCCAGACACAGACCUCAGCUGGGUGGGGGGACUCCCUGUUCCAGACUCCUGGGGGCUCCACCAGGGCGGAGGGGCAGAGACCUGGGAGGGGCUGGAGGGUACUGAGGCCCUUUCUGGGCGCGGCUCUGGCACUGGGGCGGCUGGCCUGGCUCCAGCAGGAGGUCUCCCCGUUGCUCAGUCUCUGUGGUUGAGGUCGGAGCAGUCCGAGUUGUCCAGCAAGGUCUGGGGCCGGGAGAGCCCACAGGACCCUGGCGCCGGUGCCAGGCCAGCCCCAGGGUACUGCUCGCCUGCAGGACACGCGUCCCACUUGGAACAGCCUGGGAUGCCCCUUGCCCUGCCUCCCUUUCUGGGCCCAGGGGAGGGGCAGGAAGAUUCUGGAACCAGUGGGAGCCCGACCAGUGAAUCAGACACAGGAAAAGCCCAGCGGAGGUCCUGGGAGGCUGCAGGAGCGAGGCUCCCAUCCCAAAUCUCUUCCUCGAGUGACUUCCACUUCACCCUUCCCUUCCCCUCCGGGACCUCAGCCUCUGAGUUUGGCAAAAGAGGAGAGACGGGGCCUCCGCAGGCCUCAGGUGGCUGCCCAGAGGGGCCCUGGGGCACUCACCCGAGUCCUUCCACUGAUGGGAAACCUCUACGGGCCUCCUCUGAGCCUGAAGUCCUCUUGAUGCCAGGGGCCCCUCCUGGGAACCUGGGUGGGCAGGCAGCCCAGACAGCUGACAGCCAGGCCCCUGGGCACGGGGGGAGCAGAGCCUCCCCUGUCCUGGAGGAAGCCUGCACUCCUCUGGCUGGUGGCUUCUUGCCUGAGAUCCUGUCCCCGGUGGACGAGGGGCUGUCCUACAGCAGCUUCGACCUCCCGUCCUCCACCCAGAGGGACUCUCGCCUCCCUCCUCUGCCUCCCAUCCUCCCCGCGGAUGGGGAGACUGACCCUGCCAGCGCCCACUCAGAAGACUUCCCCACCCUGCCCAAAGAUGCCGUGUGUCCUGGGGGCUCGCUGGACUCCCCAGGGGAGGCUGCCUCCCUCAUUAUGGGAGAGUGGUCCUCCCUGUCUGGGGAGGGUCUGUCUGAGUCACCGUCCCCGGGGCCCCAGGAGGAGGCUGGGCUCUGCCUUGGGGUGGCGGGACAGGGCAGAAGCCUUAGUGGAGAACUGGGUGAAUCAGGUUCUGUUGGGAGGGGCCAGGCCACGGACAGCUGCUUGUCUGAACCGGUCAGCUUGGGGUCUCCCUGGUGUAGGGGAGCAGGGGAUACCCCGGGGCGGCUCCUAGUGCUGACACCCCCGACCCUGUCCGGGUCUGGAGUAGCCUGCGCAUCUGUGGGGAGUCUGGCAGCUGGGGACCCAGGGCUGCCUGGCUCCGGGCGAGGGGACCUUGCUCUGGCUCUGGGCGCCGGACCGCACACUGCCCUCCCAGGCAUGGAGAGAGCCGAGGUGAUGGACCUGCUGUCCGCCCAGCUCAGCAGCAGGAUCCUGAGGGACACCCUGGCCGUGCUCUCGGAGGCAGCCCCAGCAGGCAGCCUGGCGACAGAGGGGCCCACGGGGACCAGCCGGGUCACACGGGCUCACAUGGCAGCCACUGGGCGGUCGUGGGGAAGCCUAGAGUUCUGAGAAGACAGGGCGGUGGCGGGGGGCUGUGGGGACACAGACGCUGUCUGUGAGAGCCCCCUGCCUGGCUGGCCGUCGAACGAGGCCUCCUAGACACAGCAAGGCCCCGGACAUGUUGUCUCCACGUGACUGUGUGUUAGCAUAUGUGUGUGUGGGCGUGCUGGGGGCCUCAGAAGAGGCCAAGAGGAGAGCGCAGCUCUGGGGGGUCUGGGCGGCCAGAUCCUGAGGCUGGGGGUUACAUCUGCACUGAUACGCCCUCUCGGAUCUGCCUCGUUGGGAAACCGGCGGGGAUGUUUGCCUGCCUCUGAUUUCUGAAGGGUAAACCUGGCGCCUCCACGACGUCCAGCUGGCGACUCCGGGCUGGGAGGUCCGUGUGCAUCCCCUUGUGCAGAUUAGAGGAGGAGGCAGCUCGGGAGAAGGUGAUUUCGCCCGCAGCCAAGUGACCCUCCGCCCGGCCUCUGAGCUGGAGUGGACCCCCGCCUCCCCAAGGGUGUGCAGGCCGCCUCCCAGAAGAAAUGAGAGCCCUUGCCAGGCUGGCCAUCGAAUGGGCCCUCCUGGACACGGCAAGGCCCCAGUGGGUUUCAGAGGUGGCAGCGUGUGGGCUCCUGCAGGGACGGCCUCGCAGGCAUCCCCUUACGAGAGCGCCUGUCCGCCUCAGCACCAGACUCAGGCGGGUGUCCAGGAAGUUGAUGCUGAGUCAAGCAUGAAGAGGGGUUCCCGUGGGAAGGAAGUGGGGAGAGGCUGAGACGGGAGGACGGGGUGAGACUGCCGGGAGGCCCGCAGGGACGCGGGUCUCGGUAGACUGGGCAGGGAGAGCCCUCGGGCCACCUCGGGGUGAGACCAGGGAAGCUGACCUUCAGGGGCUGAAGUUCAGGCCACUGCAGCACUGACCUCUCCCCACAGCAGCCGCCCCAUGAGCCGCUGAUGGGCUCUGAGGGGUCCCUGUGGUCCCCUCCUCCCCCAGGAAGCGCCUGUCUGUUCCCAUGGGGCUGUCUCACUUUAAAGUUGUUAGUCUUUCUCUCCUGAAUUGUCAUCAUCUGUGCACUUGGAGGAGAAGUAGCUUUUCAGUGAGCCCAACAAUCAGCUCUUUCACAAGAGGAAGCAGGGACUUCCCCGGUGGUCCAGUGGUUAGGGCUCUGCACGUCCACUACAGGGGGUGGGGUGGGGGGUGGGUUCAGUCCCUGAUCGGGGGACCAAGAUCCCACAUGUCACACAGCGUGGUCGAAAAUUAAACAAAUAAAAGGAACCAGCUUCCAUAUCGGCUUCUAAACCUCUGACGUGAUCAGGAUUUCUUGAGAUGAGGCUCACUCACGCUGUGCUUGACCUCUCAGAAGCCACUCUGCAUGUCCUACAGCAGUCUCUCUCCCCGUCUGUCAACUAAACCAUCCAUCAGUUAUCCGCAUGGGCUUCCCAGGUGGUAAAGAAUCUGCCAGCCGCUGCAGGAGACGCGGGAGACCCGGGUUCAGUCCCCGGAAGAUCCCCUGCAGGAGGGCAUGGCAAGCCACUCCAGUAUUCCUGCCUGAGAAAUCCCAUGGUCAGAGGAGCCUGCCAAGCUACAGUCCGUGGGGUCACAAAGAGUCAGACGCGACUGAGCGCACACACAUCACUUAUCAUCUCUUUAUUGUCUAUCCCGCAUCUAUCAUUUACAGCACCUAUCAAUCGUCUGCCUGCAUCAACUAUAGCAUCCGUCCAGCCAUUUCCAGUUCUCAAACUGGAAAAUACCUGCUUGCCGGGGAGUCCAGAAUCGAGCAGUCGGCGGCGUGUUGGCCUAAGGGACAUCGCUGUCCUGCUGCUGGUCCAGGAUAUGACCCCUGACCCCUGUGAGAUCCUGGGAAGUCAGCUGUCAAGUUAGAAUGACAGGAGGCCCUCUCCUGCAGCCCUGACUGCAGUGAGAGGAGCUCAUUCACUUUCCAGCACUUGUCAUUUAAAGUGGGCGGCGUCUUCAAAGCUGGCCUGGCAAAGCCCCCAGGUGCUGCCUCUCAGACCCCAUGGACCCCUGCAGGCCAAGGCAGGAACCACCUACCGCUGUCACCAGGCUCCAGCCUCUGGGGCAGCCACUCCAAGGGACCGGCUCACCAGCCCAGCCUGCAUCACAGCCCAGCUCACGCAGGACGGGGUCAUGGUCCCAGGAACAGCAGUCACGACAAUCCAUGUGGGCCUGACGCCCGAUGUCCCCAAGCCCGCUUGAACGCACAGAAGGGGUUUGGGUCCACUGGGGGGAAAAGUGUGUGCAUUCUCCGUGUACGCAAUUUCAGAACAAAUUUUGAGCUACAGCUUUCUUAUUGAUUUCCCCCUAGUUUUCUGAACAAAUUAGUCUGUGAUUUUUUAUUUUUUUUUUCCUAUUUAUCGCUGACCCUUUUGGAUUUACGAGGCCGUGUGAGAGGAAUUAUGUAUUUUACACACACCACGUUCGGUCAUAAAUCUCCCACAUCGAAACCCGGCAGAUUUGCCUCAGAUUCCAUAGUCUUGGGUCUGGCCGCUACGGGCGGGGGGCUGACAGCUGAGCACCAGGCAUGGCCAUGCCCGCAGCUGGACUCAGGGCCUCCCGGGUGCCCAGCAGGCGCGUGUGUCCCUGGGGUCACUUUGUGGCCCCUCACCCUUGAAGGGAGUCUGGUCACGGAGGACUUGUAUGAAGACCCUGGCCUUCUCCUUCCCAUGACAGCUGGAUCCAGGGAGCUUGGGGUUAUCCAGUGACCAGCCAGGGGAGGAAGACUGUCCACCAAAGGUGUCAGACAUGCUUAAUCUCCGCCGACAUUAUGUGUGUGGAGCUGAGGGCUGUGGCAUUCAGAUAUAUUGACCUGAAGCAAGACUUCAAUUUCAAGAUUGCUCCCUCCAAGGUCUCACCGUGCUCGCCUUGGCUCCAAUCCCUGUAGCCUCUUGGGCCAAUAAAUCUUGAUACCAGCCUCCAGAGAAGUCAUUAUCUUUCAUAGAAAAUGAUUAUUUCUCAGUUAAACCCCGCACGGAAUUUUCCCGUGAUCUGUCUCCAUCAGCCUCUCCACUCAGUUGUCCCCUUCUGCGUCAAACGCCCAGGACCUCACCCCUAGCGCCUUAAAUUCUAAUCACCAGAUGAGCUUUACGAGUCCUUCUGAUGCCUG
ensembl:lincRNA